rnacentral:SRP_RNA from 1 species
GGACGGACUAGGCCGGGCGGUUAGGCCCCGCUCGAAACCCGCGCUAUGGUCUUUAGCGGGGGCCGAAUCCCGGGUGCGUGCGGUCCGACCGGUCCGGGCCCCGGGAGUCGACGUGGAAGCCUCGUCCUCCGGGGACAGCGGUCCGCGGCGGUCGCCCGCAGGGGCGAUUCGGUGCGGUUCGCCGGCGACAACGGGUCAGGCGCGGAAGCGAGCAGCCCACCGCCGGACGCCCGUCGCUCGGGGGGUCGCGGGGUGGAGUCGGCGACCGGGUCUCCCCGGUCCGGAACGCCGGGCAACCCCGGGCGUCCACAU